UCAAGGUCGUGCGAAUUCUCUGGAGCUUGCUCCAGAGGAUAGCGGCGGACGGGUGAGUAACGCGUAGGCAACCUGCCCACAGGACCGGGACAACAGGACGAAAGCCCUGCUAAUACCGGAUAGGCACCAGGCUCCGCAUGGAGCUCGGUGGAAAGGGGUAACCCACCUGUGGAUGGGCCUGCGUCCCAUUAGCUUGUUGGUGAGGUAACGGCCCACCAAGGCU
rnacentral:rRNA from 1 species